rnacentral:rRNA from 1 species
AUGGCGGCCGGAGGUGCAUCCAUACCUCCCAUGAGAGAAGCAAAACGCAUGCCUUCCAUGGCGGCCAUAGCGUCGGAGGGUGCUCCAAAGCCACCCAUGCCUCCCAUGGCGGCCGGAGGUGCACCCAUGCCUCCCAUGGCUCCGAAGCCACCCAUGCCUCCCAUGGCGCCGAGUCCACCGCCACCCAUGGCGCCGAAGCCACCGCUACCCAUUGCACGAACCAAGACUCUUUUUUGGAUCAAGACUUCUUGUUGGGCAAGAUUGACAUACUUUUUUUGCGCCGCAUUGAGGUUAGAUGUGUCCAAGAAGAACAAGUGCUUCUCCCAUUCCAACAACUUAGCUCGCUCCUCGUUGCUCACUUUCCUCUCCUCCAAAGUCACCUUUCUCUCCUCGGUCGUCACCCUUCUCUCCUCGGCCGCCAACCUCCUCUCCUCGGCCACGGCAUCUUGGUUCCUUGCCAUUUUCCUCACCUCAUUGGCGUCGACCCUUGCCUUCACAAUAGCUUCCAUAUCAUUUUUGAGCUCAUCAUCUUCUUUCUUCUUCUUCUUUUCGGUUUUGUCUUUCUUGCACCCAUCCGAUCGUUUUGGCUUCGAGUAUGAAACCGAGUUGGAUGUGGGGCUUCUCUUGCCGUCAUCACUUGAUGCAUCAUCCUCAUCAUCAUCAUCAUUGCUUGCUUCCGUUUGUUGCUCAAAUGCAAAUCCUCCAAACCAACACGCUUCUUUCAUUUCUCAUCAUCCUUUAACACUUCAUAGCAAUGAGGCAAGGUAA